ACCAACUGCCUAAGUACUUUAAAGGCACCAGAUUCUGUCUGAUCUUGGAAGCUAAGCAGAGAUAGCCCUGAUUAGUACUUGGAUUGGAGAUCCCCAAUGACUACCAAGUGGCGUAGGCU
rnacentral:rRNA from 1 species